rnacentral:rRNA from 1 species
UACGGAGGAUGCGAGCGUUAUCCGGAUUUAUUGGGUUUAAAGGGUGCGUAGGUUGUUUUUUAAGUCAGCGGUGAAAGUUUGCGGCUCAACCGUAAAAUUGCAGUUGAUACUGGCAUCCUUGAGUACAGUAGAGGUAGGCGGAAUUCGUGGUGUAGCGGUGAAAUGCUUAGAUAUCACGAAGAACUCCGAUUGCGAAGGCAGCCUGCCGCAGCGUUACUGACGCUGAAGCUCGAAAGCGCGGGUAUCGAACAGG